UCUCCCACUAACUUGGGUUGGACCUGAUACGUCGGAGAUAGAAAGGCAGAGAGAGGCGAGGUUGAGCAGAAGUUGGGAUGACAGAGAAGUCUCUAUCGGUUUGGUUAUUAUUCUUUACAAUGACAUAUUUUUUAAAAAAUUGUGCAGAGGCAAAUGCGAGUGAAGCUGAUAGUCUCGUUGUUCAGCUACAAUCGACCAUUCUCUCUUCUGCCUGUGGUGAUUUCGCUGCUACUUCAGCUUAGAUUUCUUCUAAUGGAGAAAGACUUUAAUAGUUAAAGGUUUGCUCCUACAAGUGAGAAUGUAAUACAACAAUGGAAGGGCUUGACCUUUUUGGGGAGCUACAUACUGCUACUACUGUACUUAACUAAAUGAUGCUUCCUAGAAACAUGAUAAAGAAUUAUGAGACUGGAGCCUAGUCAGUGAAGUUGGGUUAAGGUUCUAGGCAACAAAUAUUUAUUGUACGGUGCUUUACAUGCUCAUGGCUUGUUAUGCUUUUGGAUAAAUAGUUUCAGGAGCCAAAUGGACAAGGAGUAGAUUGAUAUUCAAGGAGACAUAGGAUAUGGAAUUAUAGAUUUUGUAGAAGAAAUUCAAUGUAACAUAUCUUAUCAUUCACACCCAUUCUUUGUUGUGUUAGAUUAAACUCUUCCUCCUAUUGUCUUAACUUGUCUGAAAUUGGAAGUGCCAAUACUUCAGAUAUUUGCCGUAAUGUACAUCACACCUUUAUACAUCAAGAGCUAAAAGCCAAACGAGGAUAAGUUGCAGGAUGGUUGUUUUUUCAUCAUAUAAGAAAUAAGAAGUCCUUUAUUAA